UGCUUUUGGAACCAACAGUUGUGAGCGUACUGUCAGCAUUGCAAGCAAACAUUCAUGAGAUGUUCAGAUUCCAGCAGUGGCCAUUCCUGUUCUCUGCCUGCAAAAUACCAACAUUAUGUGAACUAUCUCCAGAUAAAAGAUUAAAAGUCAAUGAGAAAAACAGGCAGUGGGAAGGACAAAGACUGACCAACUGAAAAGCAAUGGGGAUAUCGGAGACUACGGAAAGGAAAAAAAAAACCUGACAGUUGCAGGAGAUGAAAACAGAAGACACUUGCCUGAAGGAAGUAGAAGAAAAAAAAAACACACAAAAUCUCGGAAUUUUCUGCCAAUAUUCACCAACUACCUUUCACAUUCCUGUGGCAUUCUUGACAUUGGAACUGACUGUUUCAGAUGAGUCAUUCAAACUUGACCUAUCAAAUGCUCGCUUCCUCCCACAUAUACUGCUUAGAACCAGGAAUAAGUACUUCUUCUACGUUACACAAACACCUAUUAAAAGUCAGAGAAGCUGCAACAAUGCUCACCAACACAGCUGUCUAAGCAAGACCUAAACAAGGAAGACACCAAUGGACCAGCUAACAUGGAAUAGGGAAACUCAUGGGGCCUCAACUCUAGACAAGGAACUAAUGGCAACUGGGGAAUGCUGAGAACUGCAGAAAUGGUUGUCCUUGCCAGGCAGUGGUGGUGGUGCACACCUUUAA